rnacentral:misc_RNA from 1 species
UGACAGUCACGUGACAGUUCAUUCCGGCGGGAAUCGCAAUGCUGCAGGUUUUCAGAGUUUCCAUGAGAGAACGUGGAUUUUGAUGAUUACAGGUUAUGUUGAGUCAUGGACACAAAAGCGUCCGCGCCUGUGCGAACUGUGUGAGUAUGUGUUUUUAGUAUUCUAUCUCGUUUCGCAUGUUGUUUGUUUCCUUAAACUUGUGAAUUUGUUUUAGCGCAAGAGGGGGAAGAUAUGUGAAUGGUACGAGAUGACGUGAUCGACGUGCGUGUGUGAAUAUGUGCAAAGGAUGAUGCUGAAGGGGCGGUUUUCCAUCCAAAUAGGCACAGUGGUUAUUAGUUGUGUAACUCCAGUUUCUGAUCUAUGGAAAGUGGUGAAACGUCUUCACGAAAUACAAUUUCAUUCGUUUUCCUCCCUUGCAUUGGCACGCUGUGAGUGGUGUCGGCUUCCAGAUGAGUGCAAGAAGAAGAAGAAUUGUAAAGAAUCCGUAAGUGGCCCUAGAAGACGCAGUAAUCGUGUGAGGUGUUGUCGGCAGGAACGAAGAGUCGAAGUUGUUGAAGAAGUCGUGUGAUAUUUGUAUUGUUUCUGGUUAUAUACGACGCUAUUUCACAUAUCUAUGUAUAUAUAUAUAUAUUAUUAUUAUAUAUUAUUAUAUUAAAUCUUCAGUUGGUUUAGUUGAAUGUUCAGUAAUGUAAUUUUCACAAGGUGGUUUUGUAUAUUAGAUGAGCAGUUGUUCGAUAUAAUAAUAUGUGUGUAUAUAUAUAUAUACAUUUCACAAUGUAAUUUUCC